UCUCAGACAUUCUGAUUCAAGAAGACAAAGCCACCACAGUAAGUGCUGCAGCUGAGAUAAGCUUGUGAGAAGCCCAGGCAAUUCCAACUUGGAACCACAAUUGUAGUGAUGAUGAACUUGAACAUGUUCUACUGAUGAAUCACUGAGUUUGGAAUCGAAUCUGCUGCUGUCGCGUGCCAAAGCUAAAGCUGUAAACUUCUCUGGAGUAAGGAUUGGCAACUGAAGAGAACAAACAAAGAUACAGCUUUUUUGUGUUGGAUACCUUUACAUGUCAAGCAAGCAUUAGAGGCUGUUAUUUGGAGCUCUGCCAUGGGCGUGGCAGAAUACAUAUGUCGAGGUGCGUCGCCAGUACAGGUUUCGAGAGAAGGAUAACCCUCGAUAUUUGUGUAAGUCGGAUUCUCCUUGAAGGUGAUCACAGAGAUUGGGUGAUAACACAUGAUUAUGGCAAAAGCCACAAAUUCCUCCCACUAAGAACAUCAAUCUCAUUACUUAUUUGAUUCACCGACACCAACAUCAGAAAGCUGAAAGCUACACGCCCCACUUCAUCCCACAAACAAGGUACUACUCCACACUAAACCUUUAUUCAUGGCUAUUCUCCUCUCAUCAAACGACUACCGUCAGUGCUAGACUAGUAGUGAUCGUGCAUCAAUAGGGGAGAUAACACUUGCUCGAUUUCACCGGGCCGAACUCGAAGAAGCCUGCGGUGUAGAGAGCAAUGGUGUUGUACCCGUCGCUCAGCUUCCUCUCAAACAUCAGAGAAGCUCCUGGUCCUUUCAACCCAUACCGCCGCGGCACCUGGCACGGGCCUACCGGCGACCACAGCACAAACACCCUGCAGGUGCGCGACAGCGACUUGUACUUCAGUUGUGUCUGCAGGUAGAAGUAGCCAUGGGAGUCGGUCCUUCCUUUAGCUGCCCACACCGUGCGCUGGCUGCCGCACUUCAGCAGCACCACCGCACCUGCGACGAUGGACGACGCAAGAACAAGAGGUUAGUCGUGCACACUACUGCACCGUCAUGUGAAAAUGCUAAUGAAGGAAACAAAACCUGGAAGAGGGGCGCCAUCGACGGCCUUUGAGUAGCGCGGGAGCUUGCACCUGCAGUAGAUGACGCCUUCAGCCGCGAUGGUGAAGAUCGGAGGCGCUGCGGGUGCUAUCAUCGGCGGCGGAACCGGUGGCAGCGCGACGGGAUGUUCCGAUGAUGGUUUCAUCUCCAUUUCGGCACCCUUGGCCGCAGGAAAGACGAGGAAAACGCUCAGGAAGAGCGUCACAAGCUGAAGACCUACUAAGCUCUUCAACCAACUCAUCUUCUCUGCCGAUCGACUUAUCUAUCUCUUCUUACUGCGUGAACAACAUGAAGUGACUCCAAAACCUCAGGCACCAGCAUCUGUAGCAUGAGGCCUAUUUAUAGCAGCUACUUGCUGAUCUCUCCUGUGCUUUGGGAUCGAAGAAGGAGAUAGAGAAGAGCAACGUGACUGGCCAGUGAGGGCAUAGCUGGCCAUGCACGCAAAUCUUAGUACGUCGCCUAGGAUCGUUUCUUCUCAGAGAUCAGCAGGUGGCGAACAUUAAUUUGCUGCAUCUGGAAUUGGGCCGCUCCAUGUGAUCAACGCCAUGGGUUGGAUUACAUCCGUGGAUUAUACUCUUCCCAUGCAUGAAACCCUAAUCUUGUGCGAGCGUACAACCCGCCAACUGCCUCGUAGGCUGUUCUUGGUGACGUGCAAAGCGGGUCUGUGCGGCGCGAGUUAGACUGCAGGCUGUCUGCUUCGAUCAACGCUGGUCCUGUUCUUCCCCGUUGAUGCGGCUGCCAUGAGCACGGAUCCUCCGCUGCACUGGUCAUUCUGCUUUAGGAUUUGUGUUCUGGAUGUGGUCAACGUCACUAUGGGCUUCGCGUAUCAAUUAUGAGAGUUCUUGGGAGAGAACAUCGAGACACAGAAAAAUUAGGAUUUGAUAGUACUGAUAGAUUGGAUCCAAACAAAGGUCUUGAUCGCCAUGAAGAUCAUAAGGAAUGGCACAUGGCAUGGGUGAAGGUUGGAUGUGCCAAAACAACUAGAGCAAUUAGCAAGCACAAUAUUUGUAUUAUUGAUUUAAUAAAUUUUUCUUCUUUUUUCUU